UUUAUAUAUAAUUAAUAUUAAUUAACCUUGUCAAAACUCGUACGGACAAGGGGAAUCUGACUAUUUAAUUAAAACAAAGAAUUGCAAUGAUGGUCCCUAUGGAUGCUAACACAAUGUGAUUUAUGCCCACUUCUCUGCAUGUAAAAGUGAAAAAAUUCAACCAAGCAUGGGUAAACAAUGAGAGUAACUAUGACUCUGUUAAGGUAGCUAGAUGCCUCAUCAUCUAAUUAGUGACACACAUGAAUGGAUUAAUGAGAUUCCCACUUUCCCAAGAUACUAUCUAGAAAAUUCAAAACCAAAGGAACGAGCUUGGAAAAAUUAGCGGGGAAGGAAGACCCUAUUGAGCUUGACUCUAGUCUGCCUUUGUGAAAUGAAUUGAUAGGUGUAGAAUAAGUCGGAGUUGUUUUCAGCGCCAGUUAAAUACCACUACUUUUGACAUUAUUUUACUUAUUUCAUGGGGCAGAGACGAGGCAUUGCACAUAUGUUAAAAUAUAAUACACAUUUCCUCAAAGUGUUUUCAUUGAUGGAAAUGGUCGAAAGCUCAUUCUUUACACAGUUGAUGGAAAUGAGUUUAGGAAACCAAAGAGGAUCAUUUGUUUUAAGGAUGAAGAAAUUUCCUAUAACAAUCCCUAUGU
rfam:Picea glauca, whole genome shotgun sequence.